GUUUGUGUUGUUACCUUGGUCAUCAUUUAUUAUAUUAUUGAUUAAAACGCUUUGUGUCACAUGAAAGACAGUAGAAAACUGACUUGCUCAUGUGCAGCAGCUCUGGGGCAAUAUUGAUUUUUUGUCAGUAGGUGGCAGUAGUGGCUUCGCUAGGUUAGUGCCUGGUGCUGUUAACGAGAAGGAAGUUAGCACAGUCUGAGCAUGAGACCAUGGCAGCAAAAAAGAAAGCCGAUAUUCAUCCAUGACGGCCCUUUUACUGUGUUUACAGCAGCCAGAGAGUAGUUGCAGCCAUGCAUGGUGAUCUAGGAAAGUGGUUCCCUUGAAGAACUACCCAGCUAGAUAAACAUUGAGGAUUGCAAUCUAGGUCAAAGCCCAUCUGCAGAGGU